GAUGAACGCUGGCGGCGUGCCUAAUACAUGCAAGUCGAGCGAACGGACGAUAAGCUUGCUUCUCUGAUGUUAGCGGCGGACGGGUGAGUAACACGUGGAUAACCUACCUAUAAGACUGGGAUAACUUCGGGAAACCGGAGCUAAUACCGGAUAAUAUUUUGAACCGCAUGGUUCAAAAGUGAAUCACGGUCUUGCUGUCACUUAUAGAUGGAUCCGCGCUGCAUUAGCUAGUUGGUAAGGUAACGGCUUACCAAGGCAACGAUGCAUAGCCGACCUGAGAGGGUGAUCGGCCACACUGGAACUGAGACACGGUCCAGACUCCUACGGGAGGCAGCAGUAGGGAAUCUUCCGCAAUGGGCGAAAGCCUGACGGAGCAACGCCGCGUGAGUGAUGAAGGUCUUCGGAUCGUAAAACUCUGUUAUUAGGGAAGAACAUAUGUGUAAGUAACUGUGCACAUCUUGACGGUACCUAAUCAGAAAGCCACGGCUAACUACGUG
rnacentral:rRNA from 1 species